AGCUUAAUAAACUCCUUGUGGGGUCAGGAGAAAACUUUCCAUUUAUUUGUUGAGUAUUAAGUGAAGUGCGUCAUUGAACUUGUUAUUCUCAGACAACUUUAUUUUCUUAACAAACAUUUUUUGUGUUGUACAUUUUUGUCUUCUGGACUAUUCGCUGGUCAACAGAUUACCUCGUUACUAAGCAACCGGUAGUUUAGGACAGUGAUUCAACCAGCAGCACGCGCACGUCGCCAGGAAUACUUGGAACGAUUUCGCUUAUGCGCUGUUAAACCUAAAAAGAAACUAAUGAAAUUUAUAUGAAACUUACUUAUAAAAGUUAAAUAUUUGGGCUGACAUUAUAUUAAAAUAACUCACCGUGAAUAAUGCACUCAAACUGAACUUUAAACUUACUCCAAAUCUGCAACAUUAUAAUGUAUCUUUUCCCACACACUAUAUAGUGACAAGAUGUCAUGCGAUCGUUUUGUUAUUAUCAUAAAGGUUUUACAUGUUGAUAUAUGAGUUAAUAAGUGCAUUAUGACAAAAAAUAUUGUGAAACAUGAAGCUCGACACCUUAUAUUCACAAGUUUCAAAAGAUAUUCAUGCAAACAAUGUUUGGCUUUAGGGCCUCAGGUGCUCGCAUUGUCCUUCCCUACUAAAUGGGAAAAAAAUAAACUUUUACCAUGUUUUUCAAACAAGCUGAAAACUUAAUUUAAAAACAACAUUUUUAAUGUUUCAAACAACUUAAUAUAAGAUAUUGUAAAUAAAUGUGUAUUUGUGUAGUUCUGCGGAGAAGUCUGAACUGAAGCCUUCAAGAGUGUGUUUGAAGUCCUGCGGUCUGGCAGGUGUGGGAUGCUGUGCACUGUUGUUCAAUCUCCCGCCAAUAUUGCACUCGUCCCGGCCUCCCUGACCACGAGGAACACGCGACUCCCCGCUGGAUUCUCCCGCCACAACAACAGUUUAUGAACUGCUCGACCACUAGGGCGGCGCCAGACCGCAGGUGUAUCUUCAACACCAGUUCUCCUCCACCGGAGUGACACAGACGCUGGUAAAUCUCUCAUCUGUCCUGGUUGUUUGGCCCCUCGUACACAGGAGUGCAGUGGCCCCACACUGGGUUUCAGGGGGUCUAGAGAGAGACGGAGGGCGUCCCACUCCUCUCACACCUUUAUGUGCAUUAGAACCUGUUGACGGUGUGAACUGAAGUCCUCUGGAACAGUAUCUGGAAAAGAUAUGUUUAAUCUGCUUAUUGUUUUGUUCUAUUGUUGUAAUGCUGGGUUUUGUCAAUAAACAACUUUUAUACAGAA